AUUCCAGCUCCAAUAGCGUAUAUUAAAGUUGUUGCAGUUAAAAAGCUCGUAGUUGGAUUUCUGUGAGAGUGCCGGUGUCGGCUGAUGCUUGUACGCAGGCGCUCUUACAUCCCUCUGUUAACUGUUCUUGGCAUUUUAUUGCUGGUUCAGGGCUCAGAUAUUUUACCUUGAGAAAAUUAGAGUGUUUCAGGCAGGCUUAUGCCGGAAUACAUUAGCAUGGAAUAAUGGAACAGGACCUGUGCGUCUCUCGGGGCGCCGGUCUCCGUUGUUGGUUUCGGGGACUAAUGUAAUGAUUAAUAGGGAUAGUUGGGGGCAUUAGUAUUUAAUAGUCAGAGGUGAAAUUCUCGGAUUUGUUAAAGACUAACUUAUACGAAAGCAUUUGCCAAGGAUGUUUUCAUCA
rnacentral:rRNA from 1 species